rnacentral:rRNA from 1 species
GAUGAACGCUGGCGGCGUGCCUAAUACAUGCAAGUCGAGCGAACAGACGAGGAGCUUGCUCCUCUGACGUUAGCGGCGGACGGGUGAGUAACACGUGGAUAACCUACCUAUAAGACUGGGAUAACUUCGGGAAACCGGAGCUAAUACCGGAUAAUAUAUUGAACCGCAUGGUUCAAUAGUGAAAGACGGUUUUGCUGUCACUUAUAGAUGGAUCCGCGCCGCAUUAGCUAGUUGGUAAGGUAACGGCUUACCAAGGCAACGAUGCGUAGCCGACCUGAGAGGGUGAUCGGCCACACUGGAACUUAGACACGGUCCAGACUCCUACGGGAGGCAGCAGUAGGGAAUCUUCCGCAAUGGGCGAAAGCCUGACGGGGCAACGCCGCGUGAGUGAUGAAGGUCUUCGGAUCGUAAAACUCUGUUAUUAGGGAAGAACAAAUGUGUAAGUAACUAUGCACGUCUUGACGGUACCUAAUCAGAAAGCCACGGCUAACUACGUG